rnacentral:rRNA from 1 species
CCUACGUGUGGCAGCAGUGAGGAAUAUUGGUCAAUGGGCGCGAGCCUGAACCAGCCAAGUAGCGUGAAGGCUGACUGCCCUACGGGUUGUAAACUUCUUUUAUAAAGGAAUAAAGUUCGGCACAUGUGCCUUUUUGUAUGUAUUUUAUGAAUAAGGAUCGGCUAACUCCGUGCCAGCAGCCGCGGUAAUACGGAGGAUCCGAGCGUUAUCCGGAUUUAUUGGGGUUAAAGGUAGAGUAGAGGGGUUGUUAGGUCAAGUGUGAAAGUGUGCGGCUCAACCGGAAAAUUGCAAUUUAUACUGGCAGCCCUGAGUACAGGUGAGGGUGGCGGGAAUAGGUGUGUAGCGGUGAAAUGCUUAGAUAUCACGAAGAACUCCGAUUGCGAAGGCAGCCUACUAAACUGCCACUGACAUUGAUGCUCGAAAGUGUGGGUAUCAAACAGGAUUAGAUACCCUUGUAGUC